rnacentral:rRNA from 1 species
CAUGGCUCAGGACGAACGCUGGCGGCGUGCUUAACACAUGCAAGUCGAACGGUAAGGCCCUUCGGGGUACACGAGUGGCGAACGGGUGAGUAACACGUGGGUGAUCUGCCCUGCACUCUGGGAUAAGCCUGGGAAACUGGGUCUAAUACCGGAUAGGAGCUCCUGUCGCAUGGCGGGGGUUGGAAAGGUUUACUGGUGCAGGAUGGGCCCGCGGCCUAUCAGCUUGUUGGUGGGGUAAUGGCCUACCAAGGCGACGACGGGUAGCCGGCCUGAGAGGGCGACCGGCCACACUGGGACUGAGACACGGCCCAGACUCCUACGGGAGGCAGCAGUGGGGAAUAUUGCACAAUGGGCGAAAGCCUGAUGCAGCGACGCCGCGUGAGGGAUGACGGCCUUCGGGUUGUAAACCUCUUUCAGCAGGGACGAAGCGAGAGUGACGGUACCUGCAGAAGAAGCACCGGCCAACUACGUGCCAGCAGCCGCGGUAAUACGUAGGGUGCGAGCGUUGUCCGGAAUUACUGGGCGUAAAGAGCUCGUAGGCGGUUUGUCGCGUCGUCCGUGAAAACUUGGGGCUCAACCCCAAGCUUGCGGGCGAUACGGGCAGACUUGAGUACUGCAGGGGAGACUGGAAUUCCUGGUGUAGCGGUGAAAUGCGCAGAUAUCAGGAGGAACACCGGUGGCGAAGGCGGGUCUCUGGGCAGUAACUGACGCUGA